rnacentral:rRNA from 1 species
GAUGAACGCUAGCGGCAGGCUUAACACAUGCAAGUCGAGGGGUAGAGGAAGCUUGCUUCCUUGAGACCGGCGCACGGGUGCGUAACGCGUAUACAAUCUACCUUUUACAGAGGGAUAGCCCAGAGAAAUUUGGAUUAAUACCUCAUAGUAUUUUCGGAUCGCAUGAUUUGAUUAUUAAAGUUCCAACGGUAAAAGAUGAGUAUGCGUCCCAUUAGCUAGAUGGUAAGGUAACGGCUUACCAUGGCAAUGAUGGGUAGGGGUCCUGAGAGGGAGAUCCCCCACACUGGUACUGAGACACGGACCAGACUCCUACGGGAGGCAGCAGUGAGGAAUACUGGGACAAUGGGCGCAAGCCUGAUCCAGCCAUGCCGCGUGCAGGAAUAAAGGUCCUAUGGAUUGUAAACUGCUUUAUACAGGAAGAACACAACCCUCGUGAGGGUACUUGACGGUACUGUAUG